AGUGGCGAACGGGUGAGUAAUAUAUCGGAACGUACCCUGGAGUGGGGGAUAACGUAGCGAAAGUUACGCUAAUACCGCAUACGAUCUAAGGAUGAAAGUGGGGGAUUCGCAAGAACCUCAUGCUCCUGGAGCGGCCGAUAUCUGAUUAGCUAGUUGGUAGGGUAAAAGCCUACCAAGGCAUCGAUCAGUAGCUGGUCUGAGAGGACGACCAGCCACACUGGAACUGAGACACGGUCCAGACUCCUACGGGAGGCAGCAGUGGGGAAUUUUGGACAAUGGGCGCAAGCCUGAUCCAGCAAUGCCGCGUGAGUGAAGAAGGCCUUCGGGUUGUAAAGCUCUUUUGUCAGGGAAGAAACGGUGUUUUCUAAUACAGAGCGCUAAUGACGGUACCUGAAGAAUAAGCACCGGCUAACUACGUGCCAGCAGCCGCGGUAAUACGUAGGGUGCAAGCGUUAAUCGGAAUUACUGGGCGUAAAGCGUGCGCAGGCGGUUUUGUAAGACUGUCGUGAAAUCCCCGGGCUCAACCUGGGAAUGGCGAUGGUGACUGCAAGGCUAGAGUUUGGCAGAGGGGGGUAGAAUUCCACGUGUAGCAGCGAAAUGCGUAGAUAUGUGGAGGAACACCGAUGGCGAAGGCAGCCCCCUGGGUCAAAACUGACGCUCAUGCACGAAAGCGUGGGGAGCAAACAGGAUUAGAUACCCUGGUAGUCCACGCCCUAAACGAUGUCUACUAGUUGUCGGGUUUUAAUUAACUUGGUAACGCAGCUAACGCGUGAAGUAGACCGCCUGGGGAGUACGGUCGCAAGAUUAAAACUCAAAGGAAUUGACGGGGACCCGCACAAGCGGUGGAUGAUGUGGAUUAAUUCGAUGCAACGCGAAAAACCUUACCUACCCUUGACAUGGCAGAAAUCCUCGAGAGAUUGAGGAGUGCUCGAAAGAGAAUCUGCACACAGGUGCUGCAUGGCUGUCGUCAGCUCGUGUCGUGAGAUGUUGGGUUAAGUCCCGCAACGAGCGCAACCCUUGUCAUUAGUUGCUACGAAAGAGCACUCUAAUGAGACUGCCGGUGACAAACCGAGGAAGGUGGGGAUGACGUCAAGUCCUCAUGGCCCUUAUGGGUAGGGCUUCACACGUCAUACAAUGGUACAUACAGAGGGCCGCCAACCCGCGAGGGGGAGCUAAUCCCAGAAAGUGUAUCGUAGUCCGGAUUGUAGUCUGCAACUCGACUGCAUGAAGUUGGAAUCGCUAGUAAUCGCGGAUCAGCAUGUCGCGGUGAAUACGUUCCCGGGUCUUGUACACACCGCCCGUCA
rnacentral:rRNA from 1 species